UACGUAGGGUGCAAGCGUUACUCGGAAUUACUGGGCGUAAAGCGUGCGUAGGUGGUUUGUUAAGUCUGAUGUGAAAGCCCUGGGCUCAACCUGGGAACUGCAUUGGAAACUGGCUUACUAGAGUGCGGUAGAGGGUGGCGGAAUUCCCGGUGUAGCAGUGAAAUGCGUAGAUAUCGGGAGGAACAUCCGUGGCGAAGGCGGCCACCUGGACCAGCACUGACACUGAGGCACGAAAGCGUGGGGAGCAAACAGG
rnacentral:rRNA from 1 species